rnacentral:piRNA from 1 species
UAACUUGUUGAAUUUCCGAAU